GUGAUGAUGUCAAUGUCGUCAACAAUUAUGUGCAAUCUGGACGGCGGGGCAGUCCUUUGUAAGCUGUAUGCUGAAAAGGUCGAAAAGUUGUUUAACACACUGUGACAAUUUAACGUAAUUCUGUGAUUUUUUUUGUUAAUUUUUUUUUUUGUAUGAAA